rnacentral:rRNA from 2 species
CACGGGGGGAGCAAGCGUUGUUCGGAAUCACUGGGCGUAAAGGGCGUGUAGGCGGUCAAGUAAGUGGAAUGUGAAAUGCCCCGGCUCACCCGGGGACCGGCAUCCCAAACUGCUUGGCUUGAGUAUGGGAGAGGAUGAGGGAAUUCCUGGUGUAGCGGUGAAAUGCGUAGAUAUCAGGAGGAACACCGGUGGCGAAGGCGCUCAUCUGGCCCAAUACUGACGCUGAUGCGCGAAAGCUAGGGGAGCAAACGGG